rnacentral:rRNA from 1 species
UACAGAGGUCUCAAGCGUUGUUCGGAUUCAUUGGGCGUAAAGAGCGUGUAGGCGGCCAGGUAGGUCGGUUGUGAAAACUAGAGGCUCAACCUCUAGACGUCGACCGAAACCAUCUGGCUAGAGUCCGGAAGAGGAGAGUGGAAUUCCUGGUGUAGCGGUGAAAUGCGCAGAUAUCAGGAAGAACACCCGUGGCGAAAGCGGCUCUCUGGGACGGUACUGACGCUGAGACGCGAAAGCGUGGGAGCGAACAGG